rnacentral:lncRNA from 1 species
GUACAAUAGAGCUUAUAGGCUAAUGAGAAGACAGGAAGAAACAACAGGAACACAUAUAGCUGGAAUGCAGAUGGGAUCUGUGCUACUUACGCUAGCCAUGGGAUGAUUAGAACAAGAUAAGAGACAUGAGGAAGACUUCUUCAAGGAGGUGCUCAAGCCAUGUUUUGGAAAAGAGAACUCAAGGUCUGGCAGGGAGAAAGGAGCAAGACUGCCUGGCAGCUCUUUAGAAAGUUGUGUGACGUAUGAACCAGUUCUUCCCUAUAUGAGAGUGUACCGUACAUCGCAGGCUGUCCAGCAUCGACCCCACUGAUGGAUGCUAGUAGUCCUCCCCGCCAGCACUCAACAUUGUGACAGUCAAAAACAUCCUCUCUACAUUUUCAAUGCCCCUGUUGGGGUAGCAGGACUCCCACUGAGAGACCCCAGUAGAGAUGGUCCCCAAGCAUGCUAACCAUGAAGCAGUGAUAUCGCACAGCACCUGCUUCCAGCAGCCCGGAGCCAAGGGGCAAAAUGGAAAGAGUCAGCAUUUCUCUUUUAGGUUCUCUGCCUCUCUAGUGUGAAGACUGAAGAAACCUAAUCCUAGGUGCUGCCACUGGGACAAACAAGAAGCACCAGACACAGUGCUGUUUUAGGGUGGGGCAGAAUUAUGCUGAGGGAAAAGUUAUUAUCACUCUUUAAGGCCAAGGAAACCACAAUUUUUAAAGAAGCUUCUAGAAAUUCUACCCAGUAGAAAAUAAAGAUAAACUUCUGUAAGGAAUUUCA